GCUCAGUACCUCUUCAAUAAUCUGCCCUUAGGUCUGGGAUAGCCUUGGGAAACUGAGGGUAAAACCGGAUAGAUAACUACAACUGGAAUGUGUUGUUAUCUAAAAGCAAUGCCUAAGGAUGAGUUGGCGGCUGAUUAGCUUGUUGGUAGUGUAAAGGACUACCAAGGCUACAAUCAGUAGGGGCCGUGAGAGCGGAAGCCCCGAGAAGGGUACUGAGACACUGACCCUAGCCCUACGGGGUGCAGCAGGCGCGGAACCUCUACAAUGCACGUAAGUGUGAUAGGGGGACCCUGAGUGCUUAUGCUCAGCAUAGGCUUUUGCCAAGGGUAAAUACCUUGGCGAAUAAGUGAUGGGUAAGACUGGUGCCAGCAGCCGCGGUAACACCAGCGUCACGAGUGGCAAUCAUAAUUAUUGGGUCUAAAGCGUUCGUAGCCUGUUAAGUAAGUCUUUUGUGAAAUUGUUGUCCUUAAUGCAACAGCGUGCAAAAGAUACUGCUUGACUUGGGACCGGGAGGAGUAGUGAGUAUGCAGGGGGGAGCGGUAAAAUGCUAUAAUCCCUCGUAAACUACCUGUGGCGAAGGCCCACUACUAAAAGGUAUCCGAAGGUGAAAAACAAAAAGCAGGG
rnacentral:rRNA from 1 species